AUUGAACGCUGGCGGCAUGCCUUACACAUGCAAGUCGAACGGCAGCACGGGUGCUUGCACCUGGUGGCGAGUGGCGAACGGGUGAGUAAUACAUCGGAACAUGUCCUGUAGUGGGGGAUAGCCCGGCGAAAGCCGGAUUAAUACCGCAUACGAUCCACGGAUGAAAGCGGGGGACCUUCGGGCCUCGCGCUAUAGGGUUGGCCGAUGGCUGAUUAGCUAGUUGGUGGGGUAAAGGCCUACCAAGGCGACGAUCAGUAGCUGGUCUGAGAGGACGACCAGCCACACUGGGACUGAGACACGGCCCAGACUCCUACGGGAGGCAGCAGUGGGGAAUUUUGGACAAUGGGCGAAAGCCUGAUCCAGCAAUGCCGCGUGUGUGAAGAAGGCCUUCGGGUUGUAAAGCACUUGUCCGGAAAGAAAUCCUUGGCUCUAAUACAGUCGGGGGAUGACGGUACCGGAAGAAUAAGCACCGGCUAACUACGUG
rnacentral:rRNA from 1 species